CUUCACGACGACGUAUUGUGAAGGCAAAGGUACGAUUCUUUCUUGCCGUUGUCGAUCGGUUUCUCGAGGACGUGCCGAUACAUGAGCCGCGCGAAUUCAUUCAUGAAAUCUUGCGACACGCUCGCGCCGCGUUACACGCUCGAUUGCAUAAAGGCGUCCCGAACAAAUGCUUCGCAUAGGUGCGUUCGUUCGUGACGUUGCAACUACCAGUCGCAGUUCGCAGUAGUGCUACUCAUACUAGCAAUGGUAGUGCACUAUAAUGCGACGAUAGUAAGCGCGCCAGUGUAGCGGCGAUCGUCCGUCUGUACAACAGUGGUGGGCGCGCAAGUAGGACAGCACUUUCCCUGAGUAGAUUGCUCGGCUCGUUCCUUAAGCGGAAUUUGCACUGACAAAUUCAAGAAUAAUGAAGUGGUAAAAAUAUAAUGCCUAGGAACGCCUGUAAGAAAAUUAGAGAAGCGAUUAAAGGAAAGAUUUUUUAUUAUGAAUGAACCUUAAGUUUACUCGCGCGCUUUGGUGAGACUAUGCACAUAUGUACAUGGGUGACUGUGGGUAAACACACAUGUACGGAGCGAGAACGAGAGUUGCUUUAAAGCUCAAGCGGGUUCGAUGUAAUCGACCCUUCGUCGUGGGAAACGGCUACUUUUCCUUCCGACUGGCUGAAUACAACUUUACCUUACGGGAAACCAUUUUUAUCACCUGUACACCAUUAACCGUCACGUUCCAGAUCUCGAUAAAUUAAUUGAGGAAAUGCGAGUGCUUUAUCUCGUUGUGCUAAUGCAAAUUUAAACGUAUAUAGAUAUACCGUUUCUCGACUCUUUAAAUGUCACGUGCCGUAGACUGUUAAUUAGAUUUUUAAUUAGAUCUAAAACAAUGACUGGUUUAAUUAUAAAAACUAGAAUUUUAUAUAUUAAUUUUGAUGCAAAAUAGUUAUAUAAUAUGUUGAAAAUAUAUUGCUCAGUGGUUGCAUAUAAACAGAAUUGCACGUUCCGAAAUACUGGAGUUAAAUAUUUCCCAAUUUUUCGGGCUAUCCGUGUCACGAGCACCGAGCGAGAACAUUGACGAAACGAUAGAAUUGUCUUCGAGGCGCACACUUUCGUUCGGUGGCGCAAGAUUUUCACUGCUGUUUCCGCUCUGAUUCUGUGCGUAUCCGAUCUUUUGUAUCAUUCUGCAUGCAGUGUAUAACUUUCCUUGCUCAUUAAAACCAGAGAUUGAAAGUUUCGAAA